UAUCCCACAAUCCCACUCUCAGAGAAGUAGCAUAAAUACAGCUCCAGUAAGCCACUCGAAAGUGUUUCUGGGGAACAUCGACUGGGGUCAGAGACAAAGCACUCUGGGAGAUACAGAAGCCUAUUUGCCUCAGUUGGAGAUUGAGAAGCCACGAGUCAGAGUUGAACUGGAGGCGAUAAAGGACAAAGAUGCAAGAUCUCUUGUAACCAAGCAGAGAGAUAGGCCUCUGAGAGGAAAAAAAUGCAAAGACUUAACAAAUUGCAGGAGUUAUUCAGAAACAGAAAUCAAAAAGUGGUUCAAUUUUCUUGAUUGCAUAUUCUCCUGACAAGAUAUAAAAGAAAAAAGAUAAGAGCUGAUGGGAGAAAAUUGGAGAGAAGGAGAAAAGAAAAGGGGACUAAGAAAUGGAUAGGUACAAUGAAGUAGAUGCCAGCCAGACUGAAAGGAAAGAAAGACAUGAUAUAUGGGAUCAAUAAAGUUUGAAAUUAAAGUUUCAGAAUGC